rnacentral:rRNA from 1 species
ACAGCAGUAGCCGCGGUAAUACGAAGGGGGCUAGCGUUGCUCGGAAUUACUGGGCGUAAAGGGAGCGUAGGCGGACAUUUAAGUCAGGGGUGAAAUCCCAGAGCUCAACUCUGGAACUGCCUUUGAUACUGGGUGUCUUGAGUGUGAUAGAGGUAUGUGGAGCUCCGAGUGUAGAGGUGAAAUUCGUAGAUAUUCGGAAGAACACCAGUGGCGAAGGCGACAUACUGGAUCAUUACUGACGCUGAGGCUCGAAAGCGUGGGGAGCAAACAGGAUUAGAUACCCGUGUAGUCCCUGUCUCUUAGAA